rnacentral:rRNA from 1 species
CGUGUAGGCGGGUGUUUAAGUCAGGGGUGAAAUGCCAAGGCUCAACCUUGGAACUGCCUUUGAUACUGGACACCUUGAGUCCGGGAGAGGUGAGUGGAACUGCGAGUGUAGAGGUGAAAUUCGUAGAUAUUCGCAAGAACACCAGUGGCGAAGGCGGCUCACUGGCCCGGAACUGACGCUGAGACGCGAAAGCGUGGGGAGCAAACAGGAUUAGAUACCCUGGUAGUCCACGCUGUAAACGAUGGAUGCUAGCCGUUGGGGAGCUUGCUCUUCAGUGGCGCCGCUAACGCUUUAAGCAUCCCGCCUGGGGAGUACGGUCGCAAGAUUAAA